AGAGCUCCAAAGAUUAUAUUCAUAUCCCAUUAUAUUCUCUGGCCCUGAAACUUCAUGUCUAAUCUUGGAGUUUAUCCCCAAUUUUGGAGGUGGGGCCUGGUGGAAGGUGAUUAAAUCAUAAGGGUGGUUUAGCAACAUUCCUUUGGUGGUUGUUUCAAAGUGUGUAGCCCUCCCCUCUCUAUUUCUCUGACUCCUGCUCCUGCCAUGUAAGACACUCACUCCAUCUCUGCCUUCCACCAUGAUUAGAAGCUUCCUGAGGCCUCCCCAGAAGCAGAUGCCGCCGUGCUUCCUGUACAGCCUGCAGACCCAAGAGCCAAUUAAACCUCUUUUCUUUAUAAAUUAUCCAGUCUCAGAUAUUUCUUUAUAGCAAUGCAAGAAAGGACAAAUACACCUAGUGUAUCUUCGUUUUUCCUCCCUGGACCCUGACUAACAUAGUGAAAUGAUGGCCAUUUAGUUUCUCUAGUUUUUCACUUUUUUUGGUAUGUCUGUAUUGCUUUAUUUUAAAAUAACAGCUUUAUGGAGAUAAAAUUCUCAUGGCAUAAAAUACACUGUUUUAAGAGUACAAUUCAGUAGUUUAUAGUGUAUUCUCAAUGUUGUGCAACUAUUACCACUCUCUAAUUCCAGAGAGAUCCUGUGCCUGUUGGCAGUCUCACCUCCCCAUGUAUCCUUUCCCCAAGACAGCCAUUAUUCCCCGCUGGCAGCCAUUACUCUACUUUCUGUCUCUGUGGAUUUGCCUAUCCUGUGUAAAAUGGAAUGAUACAUAUGUGGCUUUUUGUAUCUGGCUUCUUUGAUUUAAAAUAAUGUUUUGAGGUUCACUCAUGUUGCAGCAUGUUUCAGUACUUCAUUUCUUUUUAUAGCCAAAUGACAUUCCGUUGUCUGGAUAGACCAUGUUUUGUUUAUCCAUUCGUCAGUUGAUGGGCAGUUGGGUUAUUUACACUUUUUGGCUAUUAUGAGUAAUGCUGCUAUGAACAUUCACAUAAAAGUUUUUGUGUGAGGCCAGGCAUGGUGGCUCACACCUGUAAUCCCAGCACUUUGGGAGGCUGAGGCAGGUGGAUCACCUGAGGUCUGGAGUUCAAGACCAGCCUGGCCAACACAGUGAAAGCCCGUUUUACUAAAAAUACAAAAAUUAGCUGGGCGUGGUGGCCGGUGCCUGUAGUCCCAGCUAAUCAGGAGGCUGAGGCAGGAGAAUCACUUGAACCCGGGAGGUGGAGGUUGCAGUGAGCCGAGAUCACGCCACUGCAGUCCAGCCUGGGCGACAGAGUGAGACUCUGUCUCAAAAAAAAAAAAAAAAUUUUUAUGUGAAUACAUGUUUUUAAUUCUUUUGGGUAUAUGCCUAGAAGUGGAAUUGUUGGGUCAUAUGGUAAUUCUGUGUAACUUUGAAGAGUUUUGUUUCCCAAAGCCGAUGCCCCAUUUUACAUUCCCACCAACAUUGUAUCAGGGUUUAAAUUUCUCCACAUCUGUGUUAGUACUUGUUACUGUCCAUCUUUUUGAGUAUAGCUGUCCUGGUGGGUGGAAAGUGGCAUUUCAUUAUAGUUUUGAUUUGCAUUUCCUCACUGAAUAAUGAUGUUGAGCAUCUUUUCAUGUGCUUAGUGGCCAUAUGAAUAUCUUUUUUUAGGAUAAUGUCUUUUGCAAUCUUUUGCCCAUUUUAAAAUUGAGUUAUUUGACUUUUCAUAUUGAAUUAUAAGAGUUUUGAGCCUAGGCAAGGUGCGGUGGCUCACGCCUGUAAUCCCAGCACUUUGGGAGGCCGAGGCGGGCAGAUCAUGAGGUCAGGAGUUCGAGACCAGCCUGGCCAACAUAGUGUAAACCCGUCUCUAUUAAAAAUACAAAAAAUUAGCCAGGCAUGGUGGCAAGUGCCUGUAAUCCCAGCUACUUGGGAGGCUGAGACACAUGCAAAAGAAUAAAGUUGGAUUCCUGCCUCAUACAGUAUACAAAAACUAACUUAAAAUGGAUCACAAUCCUAAAAGUAAGAGCUAAAGCUAUAAAACUCUCAGAAGAAAAUAUAGGUGUAAAUAUUCAUGACCUUGGGUUAGGUAAGAGUUUCCUAGAUAUGAUAUUGAAUGCGCAAGCAAUAACAACAACAAAAUUAGGUAAACUGUCUACGGCCAUACCACCCUGAAUGUGCCUAAUCUCAUCCAAAAUUAGGUAAACUGGGGAUCAUCAAAAUUAAAAGAUUAGCUGGGCACAGUGGCUCACACCUGUAAUUCCAGCACUUUGGGUGGCCAAGGUGAGUGGAUCACUUGAGGUCAGGAGUUCAAG
rnacentral:lncRNA from 10 species